CCUACGGGUGGCAGCAGUGGGGAAUAUUGGACAAUGGGCGAAAGCCUGAUCCAGCCAUGCCGCGUGUGUGAAGAAGGCCUUCGGGUUGUAAAGCACUUUCAGUGGGGAAGAAAGCCUUGGGGCUAAUACCCACGAGGAAGGACAUCACCCACAGAAGAAGCACCGGCUAACUCCGUGCCAGCAGCCGCGGUAAUACGGAGGGUGCGAGCGUUAAUCGGAAUUACUGGGCGUAAAGCGCGCGUAGGCGGUCUGAUAAGCCGGUUGUGAAAGCCCCGGGCUCAACCUGGGAACGGCAUCCGGAACUGUCAGGCUAGAGUGCAGGAGAGGAAGGUAGAAUUCCCGGUGUAGCGGUGAAAUGCGUAGAGAUCGGGAGGAAUACCAGUGGCGAAGGCGGCCUUCUGGACUGACACUGACGCUGAGGUGCGAAAGCGUGGGUAGCAAACAGGAUUAGAUACCCCGGUAGUC
rnacentral:rRNA from 1 species